rnacentral:rRNA from 1 species
AGGGUUUGAUUAUGGCUCAGAACGAACGCUGGCGGCAUGCUUAACACAUGCAAGUCGAACGAAGUCUUCGGACUUAGUGGCGCACGGGUGAGUAACAUGUGGGAAUCUACCUAGAGGUUUGGAAUAACUACGGGAAACUGUAGCUAAUACCAGAUGUGUCCGAGAGGAGAAAGAUUUAUUGCCUUUAGAUGAGCCCGCACUAGAUUAGUUUGUUGGUAGGGUAAAGGCCUACCAAGACUACGAUCUAUAGCUGAUUUGAGAGGAUGAUCAGCCACACUGGGACUGAGACACGGCCCAGACUCUUACGGGAGGCAGCAGUGGGGAAUAUUGGACAAUGGGGGAAACCCUGAUCCAGCAAUGUCGCGUGAGUGAAGAAGGCCUUCGGGUUGUAAAACUCUUUCAGCAGUGAAGAUAAUGACUGUAACUGAAGAAGAAGCCCCGGCUAACUCCGUGCCAGCCGCCGCGGUAAUAC